AGAACGAACGCUGGCGGCACGCCUAACACAUGCAAGUCGAGCGCCCAGCAAUGGGAGCGGCGGACGAGUGAGUAACACGUGGGAACAUGCCUUUCGGUUCGGCACAACUCAGGGAAACUUGAGCUAAUUCCGGAUGCGCCCGUAAGGGGAAAGAUUUAUCGCCGAAAGAUUGGCCCGCGUAAGAUUAGCUAGUUGGUGAGGUAAUGGCUCACCAAGGCAACGAUCUUUAGCUGGUUUGAGAGAACGACCAGCCACGUUGGGGCUGAGACACGGCCCAAACUCCUACGGGAGGCAGCAGUGGGGAAUCUUGGACAAUGGGCGAAAGCCUGAUCCAGCGAUGCCGCGUGAGUGAUGAAGGCCUUCGGGUUGUAAAACUCUUUUACCCGGGAAGAUAAUGACUGUACCGGGAGAAUAAGCUCCGGCUAACUUCGUGCCAGCAGCCGC
rnacentral:rRNA from 1 species